CGGCGAUGGCCUUCUCUGCAACCUCUCUCUCCUCAUUUUCCUCACUAUCCAUCCGUACAACUCGAUUCUCUGUCCUCAACCAACACCCACUUCCUAACAACCUCACUCCCAAAUCCAAAGCCUCGAAACCUUUUCCUGUCUUCCCCUUUAAACUCACAUCCACCACCAAACUUAAAGCCGCCGACUCCGAAACCACUUUCUUCGAAGACCCCAGCCUCCAGGAAGAAGUCGUUUUCGAACCCACCCCACCCCCAGAAGGCUUCGUCCCACCUCCCUCCUUUGACGAUGGCCCUAUGGAAACCGAGGACGAAAUUGCCGCCGCUUACGAAGAAAUCUACGGCCCCGCAUACAGUGGAGUCAGCUUGUUGGGCAAUGACCCCUUUGUGAUGGACUCUAAAAUGAAAAAAUCAACAGGGUUUGGCUCCAAAGUGAAGAAAGAGAAGGUGCGAGAUGGGUUCGAAGAACGGGUGGUUCAGGUGAGAAGGGUCACCAAGGUGGUGAAGGGUGGGAAGCAAUUGCAUUUUAGGGCUGUUGUUGUUGUGGGUGAUAAGCAGGGCCAAGUGGGUGUCGGUGUUGGCAAAGCUAAAGAGGUUAUAGCGGCGGUUCAGAAAUCGGCCACCAAUGCUCGCCGGAAUAUAAUUACGGUACCCAUGACUAAGUACUUGACGUUCCCGCAUAGGUAUUGUAUCUUUUGCUCUGUGCUUUUGGUUGAUUUAAUGUUGGAAUUAUGAAUGCUUUUGUUUUGCCCUCCCUUUGGCUGCUGAGACAAAUGUGGAAAAGAAAUUUGGUGUUUUAUAUUUUGUGCUGUUUAGUUUAGUUUCUAAGAAAAUGAAAAUUUUGACCUGGAAAAAGAUUAGCAUAGGAAUUGAUUGAGUUGGUUAUUUAAUUUUUCUUUAGGUGAAUCUGAAACAUAAGGCCUUUUUUUCCUUAAGUUUCUCAGCAACCAAGUGGGGUUAUAUGUUGGCAUGUAGAAGUUAAGUUAAUUUGGAAAUAGAUUAUUGGAAUGGAAUUGAGGUUGAACCAUUUAGCAAUUCACUUGACAUUUGAACGGCUGAGUUUAACAGUUGUCCUACUCAAGACUUAUGACAAUUUCAAUGAGAUUUCCAGAGUACAAAAUUCUAUUUUUCAAAAUUUUUUAAUGGACCUUUUUAUAUACAAGUUCCAAUGGUUGUGGUGUUCCUUUC